ACCACUUUCUGUCUUGGGAAUGGUGUCAACUGGUGAAUCAGUACCUUCUUGGGAGUUUGGAAUCUAAGUUGUCACACAGAAUUGUUCACCAGCUCCUUCACAAUCUGAAGCAGUAAUUAUUGGGCUUGAAAUCCAGACAAAUCCAUUUUCUUGGAAAAACUUAUGAGUAGCGUAGGCCAAAGCAUUCCUCACUCUCGCAACCUAAACCAGCUUGCAUGAUACAAAUAGACAACAUUAUUCCCUCAAAAAGGAAACAAUGCAAGAACCUUACCAUCACUCAUGA